AGUGAACGCUGGCGGUAGGCCUAACACAUGCAUGUCGAACGGCAGCACAGGAGAGCUUGCUCUCUGGGUGGCGAGUGGCGGACGGGUGAGGAAUGCAUCGGAAUCUACUCUGUCGUGGGGGAUAACGUAGGGAAACUUACGCUAAUACCGCAUACGACCUACGGGUGAAAGCAGGGGACCUUCGGGCCUUGCGCGAUUGAAUGAGCCGAUGUCGGAUUAGCUAGUUGGCGGGGUAAAGGCCCACCAAGGCGACGAUCCGUAGCUGGUCUGAGAGGAUGAUCAGCCACACUGGAACUGAGACACGGUCCAGACUCCUACGGGAGGCAGCAGUGGGGAAUAUUGGACAAUGGGCGCAAGCCUGAUCCAGCCAUACCGCGUGGGUGAAGAAGGCCUUCGGGUUGUAAAGCCCUUUUGUUGGGAAAGAAGUCCAGCUGGCUAAUACCCGGUUGGGAUGACGGUACCCAAAGAAUAAGCACCGGCUAACUUCGUGCCAGCAGCCGCAGUAA
rnacentral:rRNA from 1 species